UGGGGAAUAUUGGGCAAUGGGCGCAAGCCUGACCCAGCAACGCCGCGUGAAGGAAGAAGGCUUUCGGGUUGUAAACUUCUUUUGACAGGGAAGAGUAGAAGACGGUACCUGUCGAAUAAGCCACGGCUAACUACGUGCCAGCAGCCGCGGUAAUACGUAGGUGGCAAGCGUUGUCCGGAUUUACUGGGUGUAAAGGGCGUGUAGCCGGGUUGACAAGUCAGAUGUGAAAUCCUGCGGCUUAACCGCAGAACUGCAUUUGAAACUGUUGAUCUUGAGUACUGGAGAGGCAGACGGAAUUCCUAGUGUAGCGGUGAAAUGCGUAGAUAUUAGGAGGAACACCAGUGGCGAAGGCGGUCUGCUGGACAGCAACUGACGGUGAGGCGCGAAAGCGUGGGGAGCAAACAGG
rnacentral:rRNA from 1 species